GGUCCCCAUCUCUAGUAGUCAGUGAGCAAGAAGGAAGCAACCAUGCACACCCACACCAAUUAAGCGAACAGUCAUGUUUUUGGAUUGUGGGAGGAAGCUGGAGUACCUAGAGAGAACCCACUCAUGCAUAGGGAGAACAUGCAAACUUCAUGUAGAAAAACCCAGGCUGGGAUUUGAUGCCAAGACCUUCUUCCUGCA